rnacentral:rRNA from 1 species
AACCGCAUGGUUCAAUAGUGAAAGACGGUUUUGCUGUCACUUAUAGAUGGAUCCGCGCCGCAUUAGCUAGUUGGUAAGGUAACGGCUUACCAAGGCGACGAUGCGUAGCCGACCUGAGAGGGUGAUCGGCCACACUGGAACUGAGACACGGUCCAGACUCCUACGGGAGGCAGCAGUAGGGAAUCUUCCGCAAUGGGCGAAAGCCUGACGGAGCAACGCCGCGUGAGUGAUGAAGGUCUUCGGAUCGUAAAACUCUGUUAUUAGGGAAGAACAAAUGUGUAAGUAACUAUGCACGUCUUGACGGUACCUAAUCAGAAAGCCACGGCUAACUACGUGCCAGCAGCCGCGGUAAUACGUAGGUGGCAAGCGUUAUCCGGAAUUAUUGGGCGUAAAGCGCGCGUAGGCGGUUUUUUAAGUCUGAUGUGAAAGCCCACGGCUCAACCGUGGAGGGUCAUUGGAAACUGGAAAACUUGAGUGCAGAAGAGGAAAGUGGAAUUCCAUGUGUAGCGGUGAAAUGCGCAGAGAUAUGGAGG